rnacentral:tRNA from 1 species
GAGGGUAUAGCUCAGUGCUAAGAGUGCAUACCUAGCAUGCAUGAAGUCCUGAGUUCGAGCCCCAGUACCUCCA